rnacentral:lncRNA from 1 species
UACGAUUAAUAAUUUUUAUGCAAGCAGGAAGUGAGGUGGGGACAAACAACAAAAUCAAUAUUUUCCUUAUUUUACGUCAACAAUCUGUCAAAAUGAUGCAGUUUAUGCUGCUAUUUAGCCGGCAAGGGAAAUUGCGGCUACAGAAAUGGUAUGUUGCACACCAAGAUAAAUUGAAGAAAAAGAUUACCC